rnacentral:tRNA from 1 species
GAACUUAUAGCUUAGUGGGUAGAGCACUUGCCUAGCAUGCAUGAAUCCCUGAGUUUG